CCGCGCCGUGGAGGACAUCCGCAUUCAACUCCGCUUCUGUCAUGGGUUCGAUUCCCGCACUGAGCAGGCGAUUCGCCCGGAGCUGCGCACACCCUUCUCCUGCAUGGCGAAGAGCUGUAAUACACUGUUACAGAGAAAUAAUCAGAUGAACCUGACAAUUUCAGCCAGCUUUCACAAAUAGCUGAACGGACCCACCUGAAUGCGGGAGUGUGCCAGAAACACAUUUGUCUUCCAGUCGCUGGUCAGCCGGCGGUACUGAGAUGACUUUGAGUGCACAAAGUGCUUGCUGUGAGAUGAUCCACUAUCCGUCGAGGUGGAGUUCUGGAUGCAGUGAGAUGUUCUGGCCCACACGGAGAGGAUCUUCAACCUUUCUGCAGGUGGUGAGGCGCUUGCCGUAUGGCCCUUGGUCCAUUCGGCUCGUGAAGUGCAGAGGCUAGACGCUGUGGAUCCACAGAAGUCCUGAUGGCUCCCAUAGAGCCCGGGCCACUGCUGACCUCAUAGCUACUGGGGAUCUUCACACGGAUCAGAUCAGCAAUGGCUGCAACGACGUCAGUGAUGUUCUGAAAGAGCAAAGGAAAGUGCACAGUGAGGAAUUAGAAAAGUUUAAAUAGUAUUUCUCACAUUACUUGAAAUGUAUUAGAUAUGUUUACUGAUGCAAGCAACACUAUUCUUAUUGCUCAUACUUGCUCAUACUUUUUUUUUUCCUUGGCAAAACAACUCUAGCUAUUUAUACCAUUUGUACUCACUCCAUUCCUACUGACUGCUUGUGCCGUGAAUUUAAAUUAUCUGUCAAAUCUUGUGUCAAAGACACCCUUCUUUGCACCUAUUCUGUAGUAGGGAAAUUGUUGUACUUGUUCCUCUCUGUUUUGUUGUACUGUGUUGUUUUUUCUGUACUUCAUGUUCUUGUGCUGUCAAUCGAGACAAAUUCUGCAAGUACCUCUGCAGAAACAGUUUUUUUUUGGUAAACCAACACUGUUUCUCACCUCAGCAGCAGCUGGCUUCAGUGUGAUGGCAAUGGACACCAGCCCAGUGUUGGAACCAUUUUGUACCGAUCCAAACGGAGAGCCGAAGAACACUGAAGAAGGCUCCGUCUUGACCUCACGCACAAAGGGGAAGGAGCUAGUUACCUUUGCCCCUAAAGACAGGAAACAUUGGAAUUACUGGAGACAGGGCUGGAGAAGGAGGUUCCUCCUUGACCAAUGAGAGAUCUGGAUAGCGACUGAUUUCCAUGCCAACGACACUCUCUGGGGAAGACGAUGGGACAAAGCUGUCUGGGGUGUCUCUGUCUUCACAGUGCUCCUGUCCCCUCCAGAUCAUCUGACAGUAGCUGCUCACAUCUCAGCCUGCCUGACAGACAUUUCCUCCUGGAUGAAGGACCAUCUCCUUUAACUCAACCUUGCCAAGACAGAACUGCUUGUGGUUUUGACCAACCAAUCAUUUCAUCACAACUUCUUCAUUCAGCUAGGCUUAUACACCACAACUCCUUCCAGGACAGCCAGGAACCUUGGAGUUGUGAUUGAUGAUCAGCUAAACUUCACAGACCACAUUGCUAGAACUGCCCGGUCCUGCAGAUUUGCCUGAUAGAGCAUUAGGAAAAUCAGGCCCUUCCUAUCAGCGCAUGCAACACGACUCCUUGUCCAAGCUCUUGUUCUAUCCAGACUGGACUCUAUUGUAAUGCUCUCUUGGCAGGCCUUUUGGCAUGCAAACCUCUACAAGUGAUCCAAAAUGUGGCAGCAAGAGUGGUCUUCAAUGAGCCAAAGAGAGUUCAGGUCAUACCUCUCUUCAUCAGUUUGCACUGGUAGCCAAUAGUCACUCGCAUCAAAUUCAAGGCAUUAAUGUCUGCCUACAGAACAACCACUGGUUUUGCACUCCUAUACCUAAAUUCACUACUUCAGAUUUAUGUCCCCUCCAGAAGCUUGCAUUCUGAAAGUGAAUGGUGCCUUGUGGUGCCAUCCCAAAGAGGCACAAAAUCACUUUCAAGGACCUUUACCUCGACUGUUCCCUGCUGGUGGAAUGACCUGCCUAACUCAACAUGAGCAGCUUUAGCCUUUUUAAGAAACAGCAUCUUUUUUUUUUUUGACAACACUUGUCCCAUUAAUACUAACACUAAAUUUCUAUUCUAUUUUUUUUCUUUCUAUUUAUAAAAAAAAAAAAAAAAAAAAAAAAACUUACUUACAUAUUUUUGCUCUUUUGUUGGUUUAACUGCUUUUAUUGUUCUCAUUUGUAAGUCGCUUUGGACAAAAGUGUCUUCUAAAUGAUUAGAUGUAGUGUAAAUAUAAAAGAUUUUUAAAUAUAUAAAAAAUAAAGUCUCUUAUGUUCACCAAGGCUGCAUUUAUUUGAUCAAAAAUACAGUGAAACAGUAAUAUUGUGAGAUAUUAUUACAAUUCAAAAUAACUGUUUUCUAUUUUAUUAUAUUUUAAAAUGUAAUUUAUUCCUGUGAUGGCAAAGCAGCCAUUACUCUAGUCUCCCUAAUCAUUUUUAUAUCUGCUAGACCAGUGGUCGCCAACCCGUCGAUCUUUAUCACUGUUCCAGUAGCUCGUGAAAAUAACAGAAAUAUGAGUACAAAAAUACAUUACAUUUCACCAGUCUUUGUACUGUAUUUUUGUAUUUAUUUUAUGUUAUUUUUGGGAGCUACUGGGACAGACAGAUAGAGGUAAAUAGCCCACAUCAUGUCUGAGUCUGUAAAUGGCCGUUAACAGAGACGAGACGAAUGGCCAGUAACAAAUGGCCAGAGACGCUGAAGACAGACGCGAAGAGGAGAAAAUUCUGUAGCAGGCAGAGCAGCUCACUGUUCACGAUGCUCGAAAUAUAGGAAGAAAAUAUAAAUAUUGAAUUGGGGGUGAGGGCUUAUAUGAAUGCAUCUCUAAAAGGAGAUCAGUUUUCAGAAAGAUAUUGAUGGCAAUGGCAUUUUAUUUUCCUCUUACCUUAGAAUAAAGUAGCUAAUUAUUAGCGCAUUUAAGCUUUGUUUACAGCGGUAACCAAGGAAACACCGUAUCACUGCUGCUCCAUAAGCGCCACCUGCUGUUGAAUUUACGUCCCAUUCAGCCUGCUGUUUUUGUUUCAUGCUUUU